rnacentral:lncRNA from 1 species
UGAUUCAAAACACUAGUAUGGAGAGCACAGACUGGAAAAAAUUAAUUCCAGCUGAGGAUUGAAGAAGGUUCUUAGGGAUGAUGAGUAACAGAAAAGGUUUUGUUUCACUGCCCUAACAAUAACUACACAAAAGUAGAAAAAUACACAGUAAGUUCACAUAGUGGCAAGUGGACCAACCUAGAUCAGUGCUUCUCAAAUUGUACGGUGGAAACAAAUUACCACAAAUCCUGUUUAAAUCAGAUUCCAAUUCACUGGGGUCUGAGACUGCAUUUGUAACCAGCUCCCAGGUGAUGUAACAGUCAUGGAACUGAAUAGUGAGGCUCUCCAGGAAAGAGAGUGGGGGUGAAGGAGAAGGCUGACAGCCUAAACAUCAACAGCUGUGAAUGGCAAAUGGUGACAAUAUGAUCAGAGCUGUGUGCUCUGGAAACACUGAUUUGCUGGGAACACAUAGAAUGGGGGCAGAAUAUUAGGAGAAUGAAGACCUUAUGAGGCUAUUUCAAUAGUUCUCAGAGGUAACUACACAACCACCCCAAACAUAGGAGAGGAAACUGAAAGGAGGCACUAAUUCCAGAGAUAUCAAAAAGACUUUCUUCACAGGCCAUGGUUAACAGAACAUAUCAUCAGUGAAAUCCCUUAGUGGACUCUCUUUCAUGGAUAGCAAAUACGUGUGUCAAAACUGUUGCUACUUCCUGUGCCAAAGGAAGACAGUGUUAAUGGAUCUAAGCCCUCUUUCUAAGCUCAGACCAGAUUUCAGCUCCAUCUUAACACAGUAUUCCAAAGAAUCCAUAACAAGGCACUGGCAUCUGAAGAUGAGGCCUUAUUCCUCUGCCAUUUUUUGACAUCAACUGUUAAUUCUCCUUUUAAAAUGCUGAGAGUGGAAUGGAUCUUCUGAAGUGGCAUGGAGAGUUCAAAUUUACAUUAAAAUUAAUACCCUAUAUGACCUUGAAAAUAUGGUGUUUAAAUUCAAUAUCAUGUCAUUUGUG